AGUUUUUGAGUUAUCUCUAAGUAAAAAGUGUGAAUAUUUUCGUAACUUAAUUUUUUAUGUGAUAAAAUUAAUUUUAUUGGACUUCCAACAUAAAUUGAUUUAGCAAAACUCAGUUCAAAGGUUUAUAUCAGACCUAAAACGUCAGGACCCGCCCACCUGCAUGCUGCUGUGGAAGAACAAGCCCAGACGCGUUUCUUCACGGAGCCAAAGGAAAACACUUUACCGAACUCAUAUGGGAUGGCCCUGUAAGUUGUGCAGCACUGUUGUACCAACCAAGAGUGACAUUUUAAAGCAUUACAGACUGCACCAUGGGACCUUUGGACACAGCCAUUCCUUGCCUUGCAUUCAUAUUAAUGAAGCGUUCCGAAGGUGCACUGCUGUUCCACUGGAAUCAACAUUUAUGUCCCAACUGGACAGGUACACUCCAAAACUCCUGGAGCUCUUCAGUGCAAAAGGAGGAGUGACUGCAGCGCAUCAAGAAUGUGUUGAUGGAACUGACACAGGACCCAAGUGCCUCUGCAGUGAAGAAGAGAGAUGUGACUGUGAGAUGCCUCAUAGAGUACAUGGGAGAGAGUAGACAGGAGCUAAUCUCUGACUACUGGAACUGCAGAGACCACUGUUCAUGAGGACCUGGAAAUGAAGAAUAUGAGCAUCUACAUCUAUCGUGAGCCAAAUGCAGUAGGAAUCAUCAUUGAGGGAGUACCAGUCCUUACUCAUCUUGGAAACCUGGCCAAAGCAUGCUGCCUACUUCUGGGGUUGACGUAUGAACUUAAUCUUGAGUAUCCAUCCAAACUUACCAAAACAUUUGAGGUGUUUCAAAGACUUUUUGUGGGACUUGACACACUGCGCCCAAAACCAACCCCCAAAUUCAUGACUCUCAAAAACAAGCUUCUAGCUUAGGCAGUGAGCCAUGACUGUCAGCUUGCACUUUUGAACAGCUAUUUUCUUGUGUCUGUUCAAAAUCAUUAUACAUUGUUCAUUGAGUGGAAUUCUUCAGAAUGUUGUAACGGUUUGUCCUGUUCAGGUUUUAUACAAAGCUCCAGGUCAUCGUUUCUGGUGUGUAAAAUAAGUUUUUUUUAUGUUUUAUACACACUAAAUUGCCCCACUGUGAAGCUCCAGCUGGUCAGAAGGAGGGAUCUGUGAGUUUUUUAAGUUCAAAUGUUUCAAAAUAUACACACUGAAAGACACUACAGUGAAGGUGUUCUGCUUGUGAAUUGUUACAGAAGUACAGAUAAUCUUAAUAUUAAAUUGUUUUAGCAAGAAACUAUACUGUGAAUGUUCUAAAUAAAACUUGAGAUGCUGAGGUCAUGCAUUCUUUUAUGCACUAAAUACUGAUGUUCUUGACUGUUAAUACUGUCCAGCUUAUUGACAGGUUUGGAUAUGGCUUGUGAAAAUGUUUUAAUAUGUAUACGGUUAAAAAAAAGAAAACUACUGUGAAGGUGUUCUAUACAGCACUUUAAAAAGUUGAGGUCAUGCAUUCUUGUAUAAUAUGGAUGUUGACUGUUCAUACUGUCCAGCUCAUUGCCACUGUUUUUAUAUGGUAAUGAUUUAAUAAAGGUUGGAAUUUGA